rnacentral:rRNA from 1 species
AACAAACGCUGGCGGCGUGCCUAACACAUGCAAGUCGUACGAGAAAGUCGGCUUCGGCCGAUGAGUACAGUGGCGCACGGGUGAGUAGCGCGUGGGUAAUCUGCCCCCCGGUCAGGAAUAACCCGCCGAAAGGCGGGCUAAUACCCGAUAACACUGACGCUCCGCGGAGCGUCUUUCAAAGGAGGCCUCUGUUUACAAGCUUUCGCCGGAGGAUGAGCCCGCGUACCAUUAGCUAGUUGGCAGGGUAAUGGCCUACCAAGGCUGCGAUGGUUAGCUGGUCUGAGAGGAUGGCCAGCCACACUGGAACUGAGACACGGUCCAGACUCCUACGGGAGGCAGCAGUGAGGAAUCUUGCGCAAUGGGGGAAACCCUGACGCAGCAACGCCGCGUGAGUGAGGAAGGCCUUCGGGUCGUAAGACUCUGUCAGAUGGAAGAAAUGGGUGGGGGCGUAAUAUCGCCCAUCCUUGACGGUACCAUCAGAGGAAGCACCGGCUAACUCCG